AAUCAACGCUGGCGGCGUGCCUAACACAUGCAAGUCGAACGCGAAAGCCCCUUCGGGGGGUAAGUAGAGUGGCGUCCGGGUGAGUAACACGUGGGUAAUCUACCUUCGGGUGGGGAAUAACUCAGGGAAACUUGAGCUAAUACCGCAUAAUGCAGCGGCACCUAAUGGUGAUUAGUUGUUAAAGCGGGGGAUCGCAAGACCUCGCGCCUGAAGAGGAGCCUGCGGCAGAUUAGCUAGNGGUGAGGUAAUGGCUCACCAAGGCUUCGAUCUGUAGCUGGUCUGAGAGGACGGCCAGCCACACUGGCACUGACACACGGGCCAGACUCCUACGGGAGGCAGCAGUGGGGAAUUUUGGGCAAUGGGCGAAAGCCUGACCCAGCAACGCCGCGUGAGGGGAGGAAAUCC
rnacentral:rRNA from 1 species